rnacentral:lncRNA from 1 species
UCUGCCUCCAGAGUGCUGGGAUUAAAGGUGUGCGCCGCCACUGCCAGGCUCCAUACAUGUCUUAAAACAGAAAAUAGUAUUCAUUUGGUUAAAGGCUAAAGUAGUGGAAAUACAGAGAGGACCCUUGACUGUUUCCUGAGUUAUUCACAGCGUGAAAACUGAGUCUGUAUGAUUUCCUAUAAUUCUGGAUUCUGGACACUUGACACACACUGCAUAAAGAAGUGCCCUUAGCUAAUCCAAAUUAAAUUGAACAACCUUUUUUUUUCUUCUGUUUACUGACAUGUGCUGUAUGCUAGCAUUUCCUUUAUCCACUAUGAAUUAAGUGCAUGGCUCAAGCAACAUAGUAGCCUUUCUUAUUUUCCUUUAUCCAUAAGCAAGCAAACAUGAAAACAUUACCAUCUUUAUUCUUUAAAUGAUAACAGCACAUAGAACAAAUAAAAAUUCCAUCUUUGUUUGUCGUGCAUUUUAACAUGUUAACUAACAUAAAAAUAUUGUUUCCAAUUUAUUAUUUAAUCUAGACUAUUAUGUGCAAUUGGCUUACUUUUCCUUUAACAAUUUCUUAUAAGUCUUCCUUUUAGCUUUAGAUCUGAUUAAAUACAUCACAAAGAGAUUGUGAAUUUAAUUAUCUCUGCUACAUUCUUGAGAAACCUAAAAUGAAAAUAAAUCCUAUAAUAUCUAGUUAUAGCAUUUGAGAAAAAUCCCCUUAAGCAUAUUUUGUUUUGUAAACAUCCCUAGUAAUUAUUUUUCAAGUAAAAGAGAGAUGACACUCUUGGAUUUGGGUAUCACAUCAGAAAAAGGCUCUUUCUGUACAACAAACCCAGUAAAGAAACAGGACUUCCCAAGUUUCCUUCACCUCCCAUAACAGGAUCUUGUGCCCUUUGCCACACAAGGCUAACAGCACAUGUCAGCACAUUACUGUCUUGUAUGAAUUUCAUGACUUUAUAAUAAAUAAAAUUCCUCUUCUUUCGUUUUGCUUACUAUGGCCUUGAUCAGUCAAGAAUGAUCAAGCUAUCAUGUUUUUUAUACCAAUGUCCAAGCCUGCCACUUAAGGCAUAGCUCUCCCUCAGAGUGCUAUAUACUGAGUAUAUACUCAGUACGUACCAUAUACUCAGGCCCUGGGAAAUAGCUACACAAUGUAGCCGAACUCUUUGACAUUAUUGUACAGUCUGAAAGAGUGAUAGGUUUGAUGAAAGUAGGCAUUAUGGCAGCUUAAAAGGACAAAAUACAAAUGAAAAUGUAGAUUGCUGUCAUGUGUAGAAUCCCUGCUUUAUACAAUAAUUAUGCAAAGAACUGCCAGGAAGAACUCACAUCAUAAAAGUGUACAGAAAAGGAUCCACAUACAUACUCUUAGGAACAGUGUAGAGUGGCUUUCAGGCUGCUGAAGAUUAAGGGAAGCAACGCAGGCAAUAAUACUUGGCUUGUGGAAGCACUUGGGAAGUAUUCACCAGCAACAAUAACAGUUCAUCAGUAGGCUGUAGAAAGAUGGCAGGCUGUAAAGACAUCAAGAUAUAUUUGGAUCUAAGGUUAUAGGGGUGUCUGGCAAGCAGAAUGACUGAAUUUGUCUGAACUGGGAGCAUCUCAAUGAGGCAAACUGAUAAAUGUAGAUGGAGCUAAGGAACACUGGCUACAUGAUGAUCAAGACCCAUUUAUGUGUCCUUCUUACCUAUCAGAGUGUCAUUAAAAAAAAAAGAGAGUAAAGUGGCUGUGUAAAAGGCCUUUGAACAUUGUAACACUGUCAAAUUCUGGGAAAGAGCAAACGUACUUGGAGCUGCAGAAAGAUGCUUACAGUUCUGGAGUGGCAGCCAUAUGCCAAGCCUUUCAAUAAGGCUAACAGCCCUGUGAGAUCACGCUGGUCAUAAGGGAUGAUGACUUAGCUCAGCCUCACAGAUAGAUGAAACCUGGAGCUGUUGCUUUCAGCCAUACCUUCCCAAACCAGUCAUUUGCUGAGCAUCUCAUGCACUUCCUACUGUUAUUCCAAGCUUUGGGACUCAUUGUCCUGGGUGCUCGAGGAGUUUGAUAGCACUGCAUAAGGAGAAGAGUCAGUCUAGGAUUGGAGAUUGGAAAUUCAGAAGGUCGCAAAAUAUCCAACCAAAAGGAAUCAUGUCCAGAGCAUUAAUACAAAGUAAGAGAGACAGGCUGAGCAGCAGGAAGGUAGGUUGAAUUUGCAGUCAUCUAAUGUCCUGCCCCAUCACGUAGAAGCUCCAGGUUAGAGUGACUGGUCCUCCUUGUAGAGUUGGCCACAAUUACAAGAUAGCUCUUGUAUAUAAAGAACUGUUUCGAUCAAUAGCAUGUAUUUCCAGAAAAAGGUCUAAAGCCGUCUAAUAAGACAGCAUUCAGCAAAAUAAUGAUAUACUCUUUUUCUCAGGAAAACCAAUAGAUUUU